ACGGGAGGCAGCAGUGGGGAAUAUUGCACAAUGGGGGAAACCCUGAUGCAGCGACGCCGCGUGAGUGAAGAAGUAUUUCGGUAUGUAAAGCUCUAUCAGCAGGAAAGAAAAUGACGGUACCUGACUAAGAAGCCCCGGCUAACUACGUGCCAGCAACCGCGGUAAUACGUAGGGGGCAAGUGUUAUCCGGAUUUAUUAGGUUUAAAGGGUGCGCAGGCGGCCUGCUAAGUCUCCGGUGAAAUGUCAGGGCUCAACCUUGGCACUGCCGGAGAUACUGGCGGGCUUGAGAGUGGCGGACGUCGCCGGAAUGUGUGGUGUAGCGGUGAAAUGCUUAGAUAUCACACAGAACACCGAUUGCGAAGGCAGGCGACGAUACCAUGUCUGACGCUCAGGCACGAAAGCGUGGGGAUCGAACAGGAUUAGAUACCCUGGUA
rnacentral:rRNA from 1 species